UUAACUCGCUCGGCUUCCUUAGAUGCAGACCUCCAAAGGUUUGCCGUUCUCCUUUCUAGUCUCUUUCAAGCAAUAGCUUCUUUUCUCCUCCGCGCUUUGGGAUGAUACGCGUGUUUGGCUAGAGCACAUAUUUGCAGGCAUCACUAAGAAGUAAUUGCGUAAGGUAAAAUUCUGGCUUGGCCAGCAUGCUUACUUAGUAAGCAAGCUUGGUGGAGUCCCUGCUCCCUGCCCACCCUCUUCCCAUGGGCAGCCAAGAGGGGCAGAGCCCAGGUUCCAAGUGUCGUGGGGGAGCGGCCAGCACGGUUUAUCUUAUUUCUGAGAGCAGAAAGGAAACCCCCAAGGAGACUGUAACUGAGGCUGAUGGGUUAAUAAAAAUUCUGCACUUUCAUUUUAAGAGACUGCUGCCACAUAUCAGACUGUCUUUGUUUACAGCUUUCCUAUCUAUAUCCACUGAGCAGAAAUUAUGUCUCUGGAAAAAGAACCCGAGUGUUGCUGAAGGUUAGAUAGACUGCAUGCGCUAACAGAGGAGACUUGGAGACUGCAGAUUGAAUGUUUCUACCUAUCGUGAUCUGCUCUGUGGAAGGAACAUUUCAGCUUGGAGACAUGACUCAUUCUGCCUUGGAGACGUUCAGUGUAAUUGUUAACCUUCAAUUCCAGGGUGCAAUCUACUCUCGCUUAUCUAGGUCAGGAAUGGAGGCAGAGGUGGGGAACAGGUGCUAUGUCUGGAAGACCAUUCCUUCUGCUGUGAAUCUAAAGAGACUGUCUUCCUGAUUCAGAUCUUGUAGUUAUGUGGGCAAGCACGCAAACUUUAUUUCCGGAGAGAAACUUCACCGCCUUACAAUCGUGCUGCGAAUUCGCCCCUGCACCUGGGCCCUAGGCUUCAGGAAAGGCCGAGGG